rnacentral:ribozyme from 1 species
AAAAAAAAAAAAAAGAAAAAAAUACGAAAAACAUCAAAACCACCCUUUCUAUUUCCCUCUCCCCACCAUACACAAACUUCCCUUGUGUGAAUAUUUAGAUCGUGUGAGAGUAUACCGUCCGAACACAUAAUGCUUCAUAACAGUUAGGGUUAGGUUAGGGUUAGGGUUAGGGUUAGUUUGGGUAAGGGUUUGUUUAGGGU